rnacentral:rRNA from 1 species
AAAGGAAUUGACGGGGGCCCGCACAAGCGGUGGAGCAUGUGGUUUAAUUCGAAGCUACGCGAAGAACCUUACCAGGUCUUGACAUCUUGCGCUAACCUUAGAGAUAAGGCGUUCCCUUCGGGGACGCAAUGACAGGUGGUGCAUGGUCGUCGUCAGCUCGUGUCGUGAGAUGUUGGGUUAAGUCCCGCAACGAGCGCAACCCUUGUUACUAGUUGCCAGCAUUGAGUUGGGCACUCUAGUGAGACUGCCGGUGACAAACCGGAGGAAGGUGGGGACGACGUCAGAUCAUCAUGCCCCUUAUGACCUGGGCUACACACGUGCUACAAUGGACGGUACAACGAGUCGCAAACUCGCGAGAGUAAGCUAAUCUCUUAAAGCCGUUCUCAGUUCGGACUGUAGGCUGCAACUCGCCUACACGAAGUCGGAAUCGCUAGUAAUCGCGGAUCAGCAUGCCGCGGUGAAUACGUUCCCGGGCCUUGUACACACCGCCCGUCACACCAUGAGAGUUUGUAACACCCGAAGCCGGUGGCGUAACCCUUUUAGGGAGCGAGCCGUCUAAGGUGGGACAAAUGAUUAGGGUGAAGUCGUAACAAGGUAGCCGUAGGAGAACCUGCGGCUG